GGAAUAUUGGUCAAUGGGCGUAAGCCUGAACCAGCCAUCCCGCGUGAAGGAAGACGGCGCUAUGCGUUGUAAACUUCUUUUCCGGAGGAAUAAAAUUUCGUACGUGUACGGAACUGAAGGUACUCCGGGAAUAAGCAUCGGCUAACUCCGUGCCAGCAGCCGCGGUAAUACGGAGGAUGCGAGCGUUAUCCGGAUUUAUUGGGUUUAAAGGGUGCGUAGGCGGAUUAAUAAGUCAGUGGUGAAAACCUUCAGCUUAACUGGAGACUUGCCAUUGAUACUGUUAGUCUUGAGUACGGUCAAGGUAGGCGGAAUGUGUAAUGUAGCGGUGAAAUGCUUAGAUAUUACACAGAACACCGAUUGCGAAGGCAGCUUACUGGGCCAUUACUGACGCUGAUGCACGAAAGCGUGGGGAGCGAACAGGAUUAGA
rnacentral:rRNA from 1 species